UACGUAGGGUGCAAGCGUUAAUCGGAAUUACUGGGCGUAAAGCGCGCGCAGGCGGUUUUCCAAGUCAGUGGUGAAAGCCCGGAGCUCAACUCCGGAACUGCCAUUGAAACUGGCGAACUUGAGUACGAGAGAGGUGAGUGGAAUUCCCAGUGUAGAGGUGAAAUUCGUAGAUAUUGGGAAGAACACCGGUGGCGAAGGCGGCUCACUGGCUCGUAACUGACGCUCAGGCGCGACAGCGUGGGGAUCAAACAGG
rnacentral:rRNA from 1 species